GCCUCCGUAGCUCAGUUGGAUAGAGCACGGCUUUCCUAAAGCUGAGGUCGGAGGUUCGAGCCCUCCCGGAGGCA
rnacentral:tRNA from 2 species